GACUAAACAUCUCUCGAAGAGUAAUCCUGCCGCUAGGAAAGUAAUUAUACAAUAUACGUAAUUAUUUUAUAACAAUGUCUUAUAUGUGACACGAGAUUAAAUUCUGAUUGAUGUAAAAUCUCAAACGGGAGAAUCCCAUCCUCAUUUUAUCUUUAAUUUUUAACGUGAACUUUGCCAUGGCACGUAUUACUUGCGUGUACACAUUGUCAGUUGAAAACAGUUUUAUAGCUAAAUUAUCUCAUAUUAUGUUGUUAUACUCGUAUCAGACCGAACUCUCGGCACCCGCUUUAUCAACUAUACGCAGGGAAGCAAGUUACUACAAAUUAUAAAUAUUUGCCUAUAUUAUACGGAAUUCCCGUAAAAAGUCUGAAUCAUACGAAUAACAGAGCAAUCAAUGUGAUUCCGUAUUAUGCUGGACAAUAAAAAUGGUCGCUGAUUGACUUUCAUGGAAAGACUAGAUACGCGGAAGAUGAGUUGGUGCCCAUAUUGCUGUAUCCUGCUUAUAAUCCGGUAUAUAAAAGGCUAGGGUUUGCUGUCUGGGACAGUUGUCCCGUGGAUUUGACAUGGACAGGAUACCGUCUCCUCAUGACACAAGUGGGUGGGCUUCCUCCAAGAAAUUUGACUACCAUCCGAGUGCCUAGCUCGGACCAUCGGAAGCUUAUCGAGGCACCCACACAUCGGUCGUUAUAUAGUCUACAUAGCACACGCGCACAGACCGCAGCAGACAGCCUGUCGCCGUGUGAACAACGGUAUCAUACUAAAAAUACAGAAGAGGUGCAGGCAGAACCUAAAGAUGGCAGUUUGCCAAUCAUGCCAUGGACGGACCUAAAACCAGCACUGAGGAUUGCACACAAGGAAAGUUGAAGAAUAUUAUCUCAACAGUGAAUCUGCAUGCAAAAACAUGAUCGACGGUGAUGAUAAACAGGUUACUACCUGCAUCAACUUUAUCAACAGCUUAAGUUAGGACGCCAUGGAAAUCAUCAUAUCAGGACUUUGAGUAAUCAUAGAAGGUAGUUUAAUAUCACUUGUUUUAUAAUAAUAAUAAAGUAUGAUCGCAGCGCCGGACCGUGCUUGUCGACCUCACCAACCCCCAUGAUGAGAAUCUCGUGAAAGCCGAAAGGAACAAGUACAACAAGCACCUGAUACAUAUUAUAAAAAACCUAAACAAAGACUCUAAAUAAAUAAAGAUUGAAAAGAUAAGUCAAUAAAGUUGACACAAAAAACGGGAAACUGGAAAUUAUAUGAUGAUUUUUUCCUUUCUUUAAAUUCCGUAAAUAUUCCGAAGUUAUGGAAAUCCAUAAAGAAUUCAAAACAAACCUGUUGUCUAAUCGCAAGUACGCUUCAACACUAGUAGUACUAUGCUACAUAUCGCCAACAAACGCACACAACCACACUACAUGUGUACAGUGCCGUCAGUACCACACACGUACGGAGCAUGAAUGGAAUCGUAUCGAGGACCUUGGGACCGAUUCUCGCGCUAAUGUCGAACGCUCGAUAAAUUUACUAUCGGAACGGUGCAAUGAACUUGGCCGAGAAAAUGGUCAUUGUAAUGAAUGGUGUUUUGUUUUCCUUUCGACACGUAGAAUAGAUAAACAGGUAGUUAUGGUUCAUUUAAGUGUUUGUAAGUUUGUUUGUUUUGUUAUAAAAAUUAAUGAAUACUUUUGGAGUUGAUACGAACACAAGUAUAUAGGUAACUCGUUUUAAAUUGAAAUAGAAUACAUGUCGAUUCAAAAUGCGCUAUCUUUCUAUCGAUCUAUUACGCCGUAAACUUAUUUAUCACAAUAAUCAUUUACCAUAAGGCCCAUAUGCCACAUAUGUAUUUAUUUAUUUAAACUUUAAUAAUACUUAAUAUGAUUUAUCGUAUAUUUUUCUACAUUCUCAUUGAAAAGCUCAUUCAAACUAAGACUCAUGCAACCUGGACUGACUCAUCAAAACAAAACUCAGAUGAAAAACAAAAUAACUUUCAUUCUCUGCAUUUUUCACUCGCUACUAAUAUAUUGGAAAUAGCCGGGAGAUACCAUGAUUCAUUCUUGAUCUUGGCACGUAAAAUAUUGAUUUCGUAAUCGGGAAAAUAUUCAAAAGAUCGGAAAUGAAAAUGAACACAAACAUAUACAGUAAACGACCUUGACUAAGUGCCGUUAGAUGGUUAAAAUAAAAAAUAUUGUAGUAGUGGUGCGGCUAUUUUCUGUUUGCAUAAUUAUUUAGUUGCACAUUUGCAUAUUUAUAUAGAGAUACUGCAUACGAGACGAUGGACAUGAGAAUGCAGAAAUCUUUGCGUAAUAAAUUGCUUAACAGAAUUUGUAGCGGUGUAUUGGGUGUAGAAGCUUGGAUAUGCAGGUUUAUUUUAAUGCAAUUUAUACUUGUAAACAUAUAACUGCAAAUAAACUAUUUGUACUUGUAUUUUUUACUUGUCUAAGUUAGGUAGACGAGACGAGACGAGUAAAAGGACUGCUUGUCUCUUAGUAUACAGCAACUUCUAUUAGGAAGAUUAAAAUAAAUGUUAGGCAGAUAAAAAUGAUAACGUUUAUGUAAUACCACCCUAGUUACUUGACUUUGUUUACAUUAAGAAUUUGUUUAUACUUCGUAACCCAUCACCUUAUCGACACAUUUGCAGUCACCCAUGACUUAGCUAAAGCAUUAUUCAUAUCAAUUUUAAGGUU